rnacentral:rRNA from 1 species
UACGUAGGGUGCGAGCGUUAAUCGGAAUUACUGGGCGUAAAGCGUGCGCAGGCGGUUAUGUAAGACAGAUGUGAAAUCCCCGGGCUCAACCUGGGAACUGCGUUUGUGACUGCAUAACUAGAGUACGGCAGAGGGAGGUGGAAUUCCGCGUGUAGCAGUGAAAUGCGUAGAUAUGCGGAGGAACACCGAUGGCGAAGGCAGCCUCCUGGGCCAGUACUGACGCUCAUGCACGAAAGCGUGGGGAGCAAACAGG